rnacentral:lncRNA from 1 species
GGGGCCGCGAUGGACCGCGGCUGAGCCCGCCUGCCAGCGUAGUGGUGGCUCUAAACCGUGAGCUGGGUCGGCGGGGAUACCAGGAAUUGGGGGAGGAGCAGAUCACGGAGAGCGUGUACAGGGGCUAUGUGAAUGGCACUGACUUGUGUACUAGCUACGCGGGAAGGGGCCCUGUGUUAAGGUGCAGGUUGGGCAGCGCUGCCGGUAUGAACACCCAGCAACGGAGGCAGUACGGGUGGCCCAACGGGCGGACGCCCUGGUUAGCCACACCGGGGCGCCGCGCAAGGAGACCCAAGCCCAGAAGCCCAGGCUUACUGUGUUAACUGCGAUCAAGCGAGGGAUAGAAGGGGGAAGGAGCCGGAGGAUCUAGCACGGGCUACCACACGGACACCCGGGAGGAGGAGGAAGCUGAUCUGGACGAACGGCUGUCGUGAAACGAUGACCCUUGUGAAGGCAGCAAGUGGGUGAGUGAGGAGCAGAAAGGGGAGAACCCGGCGUCGCAGGACGAACACCAGCAAGGGGAGCGGGGACACCCAAGGAAGCGUGUAGCGAGGCAUACAGCUGCUCCAGGAGGCCGGACAGAGGCUACAGCCUCUAGGGCGACAUGACGCAGAAGAUCAGCAGAAUGAGAAAGAGUUGUAGAAGAGAUCGUCUUUUGCUUCCGGACCCGAGGACUGCCAGCCAGGAAAGCUACUUACACAUGUAGCAGUGUGGUGAGAGGUCUUCCAGGCAGCUAAAGAAGAUGCCCGCUCACGGACAGCGACGUUGGCUAGGCCACCUGGAGGGAGGGCUCCAGCUGGAGUGGGUGUC